rnacentral:rRNA from 1 species
ACGGAAGGCAGCAGUGGGGAAUAUUGGGCAAUGGGCGAAAGCCUGACCUAGCAACGCCGCGUGAGGGAAGAAGGUUUUCGGAUUGUAAACCUCUGUCCUCAGGGACGAAGGAAGUGACGGUACCUGAUGAAUAAGCCACGGCUAACUACGUGCCAGCAGCCGCGGUAAUACGUAGGUGGCAAGCGUUAUCCGGAUUUACUGGGUGUAAAGGGCGCGUAGGCGGGGAUGCAAGUCAGGUGUGAAAUCCAUGGGCUUAACCCAUGAACUGCACUUGAAACUGUAUCUCUUGAGUGUCGGAGAGGUAGACGGAAUUCCUAGUGUAGCGGUGAAAUGCGUAGAUAUUAGGAGGAACACCAGUGGCGAAGGCGGUCUACUGGACGAUAACUGACGCUGAGGCGCGAAAGCGUGGGGAGCAAACAGGAUUAGAUACCCUGGUA